rnacentral:rRNA from 1 species
AUUGAACGCUGGCGGCAGGCUUAACACAUGCAAGUCGAGCGGAGAUGAGGUGCUUGCACCUUAUCUUAGCGGCGGACGGGUGAGUAAUGCUUAGGAAUCUGCCUAUUAGUGGGGGACAACAUUCCGAAAGGAAUGCUAAUACCGCAUACGUCCUACGGGAGAAAGCAGGGGAUCUUCGGACCUUGCGCUAAUAGAUGAGCCCAAGUCGGAUUGGGUAGUUGGUGGGGUAAAGGCCUACCAAGGCGACGAUCUGUAGGGGGUCUGGGAGGAAGGUCCGCCAAAAUGGGACUGGAGCACGGCCCAGAAUCCUACGGGAGGCAGCAGGGGGGAAAAUUGGACAAUGGGGGGAACCCUGAUCCAGCCAUGCCGCGUGUGUGAAGAAGGCCUUAUGGUUGUAAAGCACUUUAAGCGAGGAGGAGGCUACUGAGACUAAUACUCUUGGAUAGUGGACGUUACUCGCAGAAUAAGCACCGGCUAACUCUGUGCCAGCAGCCGCCGUAACAC